GACGAACGCUGGCGGCGUGCUUAACACAUGCAAGUCGAACGGAAAGGCUCUGCUUUUGUGGGGUGCUCGAGUGGCGAACGGGUGAGUAACACGUGUGUAACCUGCCCUUGACUUUGGGAUAACUUCAGGAAACUGGGGCUACUACCGGCUAGGAGCUCCUGCUUCAUGGUGGGGGUUGGAAAUUUUCGGCUGUUGGUGAUGGACUCGCGGCUUAUCAGCUUGUUGGUGGGGUAGUGGCUUACCAAGCCGUUGACGGGUAGCCGGCCUGAGUGGGUGACCGGCCACAUUGGGACUGAGAUACGGCCCAGACUCCUACGGGAGGCAGCAGUGGGGAAUAUUGCACAAUGGGCGGAAGCCUGAUGCAGCAACGCCGCGUGCGGGAUGACGGCCUUCGGGUUGUAAACCGCUUGCGCCUGUGACGAAGCGUGAGUGACGGUAAUGGGUAAAGAAGCACCGGCUAACUACGUG
rnacentral:rRNA from 1 species